rnacentral:rRNA from 1 species
GAAUAUUGCACAAUGGGCGAAAGCCUGAUGCAGCGACGCCGCGUGAGUGAAUAAGGUCUUCGGAUCGUAAAACUCUGUCAUAGGGGAAGAAGGAAGUGACGGUACCAUAUGAGGAAGCCCCGGCUAACUAAGUGCCAGCAGCCGCGGUAAUACGUAGGGGGCGAGCGUUGUCCGGAAUUACGGGGCGUAAAGGGUGCGUAGGCGGCCGAUUAAGUCAGAUGUGAAAGACCAUGGCUCAACCAUGGGGGUGCAUUUGAAACUGGUUGGCUUGAGUGCAGGAGAGGAAAGCGGAAUUCCUAGUGUAGCGGUGAAAUGCGUAGAGAUUAGGAGGAACACCAGUGGCGAAGGCGGCUUUCUGGACUGUAACUGACGCUGAGGCACGAAAGCGUGGGGAGCAAACA